GUUUUAUUUGUUUGAUAGGCACCAGGGAUCAAACUCACAACCUCACAGUUGCCAGGCAAGUGCUGGCACCGCUGAGCUAAAUUCCCAGCCCUAAGGGAAAUGUUACGAUAGUGUUGAAUGAAAAAGCUGAUGUGCAUCAGUUGAGGAUAUGGUUCAGUGGUAGAAGGCUCUCCUAACAUGAAUAAGGCUCUGGAUCUGACCCAUAGCACCAAAGAAAAGAACUGAUCUAAAUAUAAUAUGCUCAACUAUGAAAAAUAACAGUGGAUCUUUUACUUACAAAUCAAUUCAUCAUGAGGGCUGGCUGUAACUGGUUAUAAGUCAAGACUGUUUUUCCCAUAAUAAUGGAAAUACCCAUAAUUUUGUUGUGUUCUACAAAGCAACCCUUAACCUUUUCAUAAUAAACAAAAGGGUGUAUGUGUGAUCAAUAAUUUUCCUAUUAUAGUCACUAAAAAAUUAUAAAAUGUGCCUAGUUUACCAGAAACAACAAUUUCAUACUACACUCACCACUCAAGUUGACAUCUUUGGCUUGCAGAAAGAGAGGAUAAAAUGGCAAGUGCUUAGCGUUUGAACAGAGAGUCCCCAUCCAUAAGAACAUCAGGAAUCUGGCUCUCUGGUGUCCUUCCUCUCUGUAGCCCACUAGGAUCUGCUUCUGGCUCACUAGGUCUCAAUCUUUUCAGAACUAGAAACUUGUUUAAUUUGUCUGUUUCUACCUUUUCUUCAAUACUGCUCUGUAGUAUGACAUGACACUGUCAUUAAGCAAGUGAACUCAAUGACUGGCUUUUUCUCUGGGUACUCUUCUCUACAAAUGUUUGUAGCUCUUUUUUUUUUUUUUUUUUUUUGUCUUUUUCCUUUUUAUCGGUACCGGGGAUCGAACUCAUGACUGCCUGCUUGAAAGGCAGGCGCUUAUGCCGCUGAGCUAAAUCCCUAGCCCCCAACUCUGUCCAUCUUUUCAGAAUUUCCUUUAUUUCAGAAGAAGGGAAUGGCUACACUGACUGUUGAUGCUCCCCCUCCUCUUCAGAAAGCUCCUCAGCUGCCAUUCUCUGCUGCUCAGCCAGAAGUUGCUGAAGUUUUUCUGUAGAUUAUUCCUCUGUAUUCCUCAGCCAGUUCCCCACCAUCACUGUUACCUGCAAGCCUAUGGACUCUGCUACAGUGAUCUUGUCAUCAACCACAGGGCCAAUUUAAAGCUGAGGUGCCUCUACACAGCCUUCAAAGUGCUUCUCUUGUAUAAUUUUAGACCACACUUUCGCCCAGGCAGAUCUCAGGGUCCUUAGAGACAGACUGGCCUAGGAUUUCUCAGUUAACCCUGUACAGGAAAGAACAUUGUAAUGUUCCUUCCAGAACUCUUUAAGGGUUAACUCUGUAUCAGAGACCAUCUGGAAGCACCUCAGAUAUAUAGCAUCUAAAAGACUGCUGUAGAAGAGUUUUAUUAGGUGGGAGGAACUUGACCUCAAGCCAUAGGAAUUUUUAGCCAAUUCUUCCAAAUCUUGUGAGUGAACAGGAGCACUGCCCAUGAUGAGACGAGCCUUGAGUGGUAAGCCUUUGUCCUUCUACAAAUCUUGGCUCUAUAAGACUGCUGAGGUGGUAGGCCGGGGAUUUGGCUCAGUGGCACAAAAGUGUACCUGCGAAGUGUUAGGUUGUGAGUUCAAUCCCCAGUACCCGCCCCCCAAAGAAAGAUUAUUGAGAUGGUGAAUUUCAACAUGCUGUGCAUAUCAGCAAGAUGGGUCACAUGAACACCAUGCAUACUUCUCCACAAUUCCCUUCUUUUCUAUUGUGAUUGCUUCCUUUACCUUCCCUUCCGUACCUUCUUUUCUAGCUUUUUGGGGGCUAUUUUGAUAGCAAUAAUCAUAGCGAUUAAAUAAAGCACUAACCAAAAUCACAUCUACAAACAUGCAUGCAGGCUCAGACUGAUGUUUACAUGCACUGACAUCCUUUUCUAGCCUCAUGAGUCUUUGUUUGCAAAUGCACAAGUGACUGACAUUCAGGUUGUAAUUCAAGACUUUGGUCCUAGGUUAAACCUAAAAUUCCAGUUGCAACCCAAGGUAUUUGUGUAUGAGGCUAGUUGUAACUUAAGGAUCCACUGUAGUAAAGACCAGAAAACAUAAAAAUGCUGACAGAUGAAAGAAGAGCAAUUCAGCUGCUCCUCUUCAUUCUCACCCACUACAUAUGUAUUAUUCAGCUUUUCCACUGCUGAGACAAAAUAUCUGACAUAUGCACUUUAAAGAAGAAAAGACUUAAUUUGGCUAAUAGUUUCCGAGACUUCAGUUCAUGGUUGAGCAGCUCCAAGGCAGAAUGUCACCAUUUUUGGAUCAGGUCUUUAAAUUUGAGAAUUCUGAUUUUUAUGAGUUCUUUAUAUAUGCUAGAUAUUACUCCUUUGUCUGAGGUAUACAGCUGGCAAAAAAAUUUUUCCACACUAUACGUUGUCUCUUCACUUUGCUGCUGAUUUCUCUUGCUGUGCAAAAGCUUUUUAAUAAGAUGAGGUCACAGUUGUUGAUUCUUUGUGAUAGUUCCUAUAUGAACAGAGUUUGGUCAUAAACUCUUUGCUUAAAACAAUGUCCUCAAGAGUUCUACAUAUUCUAUCUUCUAGCACUGUUUCUGAUUUAAUAUUCAAAGCUUGCUCCAUUUCGAUUUUAGUUUAGUAUAUGGUGAGAGAUAGGGGUUUAGCUUUAAUCUUCAGCACCUGGAAAGCCACAUUUUCCAGAACCAUAUAUUAAGGCUACUAUUCUUCCAGUGUCAUGGUUGAUGUCUGUGUCCCCCAGGCCUCAUGAGUUUACACUGUGCACUUGUGAUGGUUCAUUGUCUAGUGCUUGGAUUGAUGGUGUCAGUGCUACACCCACACAGGGGUGGAGCCAGGAUGUGAUGUAAUGGCAGGAAGAAGGUGUGUCUUGCUCUUUGCUGGUUCCUGCUUGCUGUUUGCAGCCACCAUGAACUGCCGUCCAGCCAUGCCAGCCUGCCUUGGAGCCAACUGAGUGUGGACUGAAACCUCCAAAAACUAUAAGAAAUAAAUCUUUCCUUUCCCAACUUGGGCUUCAGGUAUUUUGUCUCAGCAACGAGUAAAAAGUAACAAGACAUCCAGUAAAGGUGUUUGGCUCCUUUGUCAAAGACAAGGUAGCUGAGUGUGUUUGGAGUUGUUUCUGUGUCUUUUAAUCCAUCAAUCUGCAGGUCUGCUUUUUUGCCAGUACCAUGCUAUUAUCACAGUAGCUCUGUAGUAUAAUUUCAAGUCAGAGGCUAUGAUGUACCCUGCCUUGACUGUAUUGCCCAAUAUUGUUUUUGCUAUUCUAAGUCUCUCCAAGGUCCAAAUGAAUUUUAGGAUUGCUUUUUCUAAUUCUGUGAAAUAUGCUGUUGGAAUGUUGAUCAGGAUUGCAUUAAAUACGUAUAACAAUUUGGGGAGUAAGACCACUUUUACUACACUGGCUCUUCCUACCCAAGCACAAGGGUUAGUGUUCCUUUCCUUUUUUUUUUUUUUUUUUUUUUUCUUUUUUGUACCUGGCAUUGAACUCACAACCCCGUGUUUGUCAGGCAGGCACUUAACUGCUGAGCCAAAUCCCCGCCCUUAUCUUCCCAUUUUUUGAUACCCUUUCGAACUCCUUUUUCAGAGUACUAUAGUUUUCAGUAUAGAGGUCUCUUACUUUCUUCAUCAGAUUGAUUCUUCCGUGCCCUGAAGCCCUCCAUUCCUCCGCUUCUCUCCAUCAUCCUAUUUCAAAACUCUAUAAUUCAUUUGGACUCAUGAAACAGCUUCCUAAUAAGUCUGGUACCUCCGUUCCUGCCCCUCUCUGUGAGCACAAAGCAAUCAAUAUAUGGUUUACUCCAGACUUAAACUUCACAAACUUCCCACUACCCUUACAAUACAGUCCUAAUCCCACUUCAGACUUAUCUUUCUUAUACCUCACCUCUUAUGAAUUACCAAUACUGCACCUCUAGUGUUUUCAACUUACCAUUCUCUCCUAAGCUCAGAUCAUGGUCCCCACGACCUCACUGUUUCCACUAACAAACUCCUAUUCCCUUUUAAAUCUCAGCUUAAAGGUUCAUCCAUUCCACAGGGAAGCAUUACCUGUCUACACAUUUCAGGUUAGGUAAGAAUUUCUAUUGGUAAUGCCUGCUGUGCCUAAUACAGCCCUACCCUUUUUGAUAGUACAAAAAUUUUUGAAGUAUUUACAAAAAUUUAGCAUUUACUUUCUGACUCUUCCAGGCAAGAAAAGUGUGGCUUACCAUUUUACUCCUGGUAGGUGCUCAAAAGCUACCUGUUUACUAACUGAUGAUUCAUUUAUAGCAUGCUUAAAGAGAGCUAAAAAGCUACAUGAAGCUAAUUACCUUAAUUUCCCAUAAAAAGAAAACUCUGCUAGGUAUGGUGGCUGGUGAAAUCCCAGCUUCCUGAGGAUUGCUGCAAGUUUGAGGCCAGCCUGGGCUAUACAAUGAGUUCACGGCUAGCCUGGAGCACAGAGACCCUGUCUCAAAAAACAAAAAAUGGGGCUGGGGACACAGCUCAGCAGAACGGUGCCUGACUGGCAAGCAUGAGGUCCUGAGUUCAACUCACAAGUUAAAAAAAAGUGCAAGAACCUAAACCAAUAUAAACAAACCGCACUAACAAGUCUUGCUAUUCCUAAAAUAUCCUACAACAUGAUUAUUUUCUGAACUAUAUCUGGCAACAACAAUUUCUAGAUUAGUCUAAAAUAUCAGUUUUGCUUCUUUUCAAAUGUCAGCCAUAAUGGAUAUGAACUCAACUAUGACAAAAUCAUGUAGAGCAAAAAAUCACAAAGGACUUCUAAGGUAUACCUUUGUGAAUAUUUCUGAGGCAAGGAAAUUAGAAGUUAGGGUCCAGGGUGGGCAGUGCACGCCUGUAAUCCCAGCACUCAGAGUCCAAGGCAAGAGGUCACCACAAACUCAAGACCAGCCUGGGCUACAAAGUGAGUUCAAGGCCAGCCUGAACUGCAUAGUGAGAGCCCGUCUCUAAAAGACCAAAAAAAAAAGGAAAGAAAGAAAAUUAGAAGUUCCAAAACAGUUACUGAAAUGCUUUUUCUUUUAUUUAUUUAUUUGGGGGGGGGGUUACUGGGGAUCAAACUUACGACCUUGCCAGGGGCAUUUGUACUGCUAAGCUAUUAUCUCCAACCAAAAAUGCUCAUGUUUAAAAAAAAAUUUUUUUGUUUUUGCUGAACAUACCACUGCUAUUCAGACUAUGCAUGACCAAGCAAACUUAAGCAGUUAAUUCACAUGAAAUUAUUUUACUCAGAACUAUAAGCUUUAAUUACAAGUAACUGUGAGGAAUAAAACAAUCUUGCCAAUAUUCAUAUAGCAGUUACUAUGAAUCAGCCUGAGCUUUAAGAUUUUUGCGUGAUUUAACUUGCUAAAUCUUAUCAAGCCUAUAAAGUGAUUUCCCUUUUUUUACAGUUAGAAAAAAAAAAAAAAAAACUUAAGGAACAGAGAAGUUAAAGUGACAGAGCCAUGACUCAAAUUCAGCUGAUCUGACUUCAAUCACAUACACUAUGUUGCAGCUCUAAAAUAAUGACAGACUGUGGGGGUUAGAGAGUAUGGGGCCUCAAUGGCAGAGUUUGUGGUUAGCAGCAUGCAUGAGGCCCCAGGUUCAACCCCAGCAUGGGGGAGAGGGCAGGUUUUCCAGAGAGAGGAGCAGUUAUGUCUAAGUAAUAAGGAAUCAGUACACACAUCAUCUAUAUAAAAACACAGUAACAAAAGUAGAAGAAAGAAGGAGAGCACAAGAAAUGAAGACUACACAACAGAAUUUGUCACUGAAUAGACAGGAUCACUAAAUUGGGUAUCAUGAUGUGUCUCAGCAGCCGAGCACUUGUCUAGGGGCAAUGACAGCCCUACCCGACCAAUGGCUCUAUACAAGAACUAGGGGCAGAGACUAAAGGACGAUCUCCAGAUAAAAAGAGUAAAACAACACAAUUAUUUAAACGAAAUUAGACUUCAGUAAAGUCAAUAAUGAAAAUUAACACCAUCAAAAAAGUAAAAGUCUGAAUGGUACAGAAGAAAGUGGACACUGCUAUAAAUAUAGUAAGAACCUUGAUUUUAAAUGAUGUAAGUAAAUGAAACAAUUAAAGAGGCAAGUAAGCUACAUGAAGCUAAUCAUCUUAAGUUUAAAAGGCUGUCCAGAACAAAGUAAAAACUACAGAGGCAUAAAAGUUACAAGAGAUCCAGCAUCAGUUGCAAGAGACCAUCCAGCAAAUGGAAUAGAAAAAGAUGCAAAAAUGGAUAGAAAGAGCUGGGAUGCUAGAAAAUUGGCCCAAGGAUGCCCUCCCACUUUCCCCAACCCACAGUAGCAAAGGUGGCAAAAAUAACCUUAAAUUCUCCAAAGGGAAUGGAAAACCUAAGCAAACAAAUGACGUCCCAAUUAACCACUGUAGGCUUACAGAUUUAUUGCCUCUUGGCUUUAAAAAAAUUGUUCCUUUUUGCCUAACCUGCAUAAAUGAACCUGGGCCCCAUUUUCCUUUGCUAGCUGGCCAGAUGUGAGGCCUUGUCUGUAUAGGGCCAUAAAGAGAUAAGGCAGGAGGGAAAAGGUUUGUUCGGUGUAGGGUCCGGCAGCACCUGUAUCUUUUCCAGCACUCACACUUUUUCCAGCAUGUAGCACUUGGCAGCUUCCAUGAGCACCUCUGUGGAGCAGUUUUGCAGGAGUGGGUUUGGUGAGAUGCCCUGUAAGCAGCUUUUCCUAAGCAGCCUGGAGGGCAAAUUUCUGGCAAAGAUUUCUAGCAAGUUUUGACACGCAGCGAACCCACUACAACAGAUCUAGCUCUUGGCUAGGGCAGGGCCAGAGAAGAGGCACUCAACUGGUACCUUAGCCUUAGGUGGCGGCUGCUCUUUAUAUGUGCUACUUCUCAAUUCUUUGGAGCUCUCUUUACUUCUUCUUAAUAUCUUUAUUUGAGAUAUCCCUUACAUAUCAAACAAUUCACCAUUUAAUAUAUACAACCUGAUGACUUAUGGAAUAUUCACAAUCUUACAGUAUUGCACAAAUAUCACCACAUUUUAGAACAUUUUCAUUGCCCCAGAAAAGAUACUCUGCAACUUCUCUGUGUCACCACUCUGCUGGAUCUCCUGUUUUUCCAACCCCAAUCUAGUUUUAGAUUUUACAGAUGAGCCUACUCACAAUACAAGGUCAUUUGUGACUGCCUUCAUUCAAAAUGUGUCUGAAGUUCCUGCAUGCUGCAGCAUGUAUCAGUGCCUCAUCACUUCUUACUCCCAAAUAAAACUCCACUGCAGGGCUGUAUACUGGGACUGCAGUCACGUAGCAGGGCCAGUCUCACUAUGUAGUUUGAGCUAACCUUGAACUCACUAUGUAGCCCAUGCUGGUCUGGAAUUCAUGGGUCUGCCUCACUUUCCCAAAUGCUAGAAGUGUGCACUGCUACACCUGAUUGACCCAUUUUUAAAUAGUAGACUAGGGGUAGCAAAAGUCAACCUCUCCGAGAUCCAGAAUCCAGACUCUGAAAAAUAACAACUUAGUAAAGAAUGAAAAAAAAGUAGCUCACUAGGAAUUAGAAAGGAACAGACAAUAAAGAACAGAAGCUACAGAGAAGUUAGAAAGACAGCCCACAACACAAAGUAAAGGACUAAACAAUCUGAUCUCUUUCCCCAGUUCACAGGUUAUAGGGAGAGGACUCUGGCUCCCCAGAAGUAAGCAUGGAUCUGAGUUCUGACUGCCUUCCUCAUCCAUCAGUGACAGCAAGGAUGUCAACAAGGACACUGCACAGCCUGGGGAACUGAGGGGCCUUGGGAAUGGGGUACAUCCAACAGACCCACAGUCUAGAUUGCUAGGCAGAGAAAACUGUGACUUGUUAAACUCCAAACUGUGGAUCUUAGAAGGAAUUCACUCACUUGAAAACACAGAACAGGGCUGGGGAUUUAGCUCAGCGGCAUAAGCGUCUGCCUUGCAAGCAGGUAGUCGUGAGUUCGAUCCGCGGUACCGAUGAAAAAGGAAAAAGACAAAAAAAAAAAAAAGAAAAGAAAAGAAAAUACAGAACAUUCUGUUUAUGGACUCAAUUUCUUUCUUGUUUCUUCAUUUUCUUUUUAAUUUUUUUCUUUCAUUUCUCCAUAUUAUUUCUUUUUUCUCCUUUUUUUCUUUAUCUUCUAUUUCUCAUUUGUUUUUUGACUUAUCUAUAUCUAAUUCUAAAAUAUCUUUCUACUUCUUAUAGUAUCUUUUGUCUCAUUUUCCUCUCCUUAAUUCCUAGGAACCCAUUUAACCUAAUAGGCUAAAAACCAAAGAAUGAAAAACAAUAUCCCAUGCAACAGGAGCCUAUUUAUUCAGACAAAGUAGACUUUAGCUGAAACUGAUCAAAAGUGGCAAAGGUCAUUAUAUGUUGGUCAGGGGAACAAUAUGUACCAAACAAUGGCACAUUCAGCUUUAUAAGACAAAUACUACUGGACAUAAAAGACCAGACAAGGUUAGACACAAUUAUAAUGAAAGACUUCAAUAUGCCACUAACAUUAAACUAACUAGAAAAAAAAAUCAACAAAAAAUUAGAAUUGAACAAAUCCUUCAAAGAAAUGGAUUUUAUAUUUAUUUUUCUACCCAACAACAGAACACACAUUCUUUUUCAGCAGUACAUGCAACUUUCUCCAAAACUCACCAUAUAUUAGCCAGUAAGUCAGCCUUAACUAAAUGAGAAAGAAUUGUCACUACCAUAGUCCUGCCAGCUUAAACCACCACCGCUAUACGCAUGACUGUUUCACUGAGCAGAAAAGAAUGAAACUGAGACCCAAAUACCCCAAAAAUUAAUGAAUCAAAGAGUUGGUUCUUCAAAAGAAUAAACAAAAUAAACAAACCCUUAGCCAACCUAACCAAAAAAGGACAGAAAAGACCCAAAUCAAUGGGAUCUAAGAAGUGAAAAAGGGACAAUUACAAUAGACACUGCCAAAAUAAAAAGCUGGGUAUGGUGGCACAUAACUUAGGAGGUAGAAGCAGGAGGAUUGCUGCGAAUUUGAGGCCAGCCUGGGCUACAAAGUGAAUUCAAGGCCAGCUUGGGUAUAGUGAUACCCUGUCUCAAAAAAAAAAAAAAAAAAAGAUUAUUAAUUACUGCAAAACCUGUAUGCCAAUAAAUUAGAGAAUUCAGAAGAAAUGGACAGGUUCCUAGAUAUAUAUUAAUUACCAAAACUGCGUCAAAAAGAUUUUAAAAUGCUGAAUAAUCCUGUAAUAGCAAAUGAAAUUGAAAAUAAAUAAAAUCCACCAAGAAAAGCCCCUUGGAAGGGUUCACUCCUGAAAUCUACAAAAAUUUCAGGAAACUUUUAAGCUUAAUAUUCCUCAAGCUUUUUUUUUUGGAGGGAGAUGGUUGGUACUGGGGAUUGAACUAGCUACCUCGCACUUGCCAGGCAGGCACUUAUGUCGCUGAGCUACAUCCCCAGCCAUCCUCAAGCUUUUUUAAUGAAAUUAAAAGGGAAAGAGUACUCUCAAAGUUAUUUCUGAGAGCUAGCUAGUAUUACUCUGAUUCCAAAACAAGACAAGGAUCCAACCAAAACUGAGAACUAUAGACCAAUUCCUUUAAUGAAGAUAGAAGCAAAAAUCCUCAACAGGAUACCGGCAAACAAAAUGCUAAUGAAUCAUUUCUCUUCUUUGUUUUUUGGGGGGUUUUUUUUGGUACUGGGGAUUGAAUUUAUGAUCUCAUACUUGCCAGGCAGGCACUGUGCCACUGAGCUAAUAUCACCAAGAAGAUCAAACACCAUGACUAAGUAGGCUUCAUCCCAGGGAUGCAAAGAUGGUUCAACACACACAAAUCAAUAAAUACAAUACAUUAUAGGAGAGGGGGAGUCAUAUGAUCAUCUCAAUAAAAGGCAGAAAAAAACUUUGACAAAAUCCAACAUCCUUUCACAAAAUUUCAUUUGAAUCAGCUAUUUCUCUUCUCUAUGUCUUUCCAAAAGAGUUAAAGACAUCAUGGCCUUCCUGGCUCUAUGCUGAUCAGCAAAAGCCUCAAUCACAAGAGAAGCCAAGCAUUCCAUUCCCAUGAAGCAGGCUCUGCCAUGCUGAUGGGUAAGAGCUUCCACCAGAAGUAUUACAUCAUAUUACAGGAUACAUGCAUAUCCACAAUUACAGCAGAACAGCAUAAUCUUGGAAGCAGAAAAUAUGUCCAUCAACACAUGAAAGGAUAAAGAAAACAUAAUCCUGGACAUGGUGGCACAUGCUUGUAAUCCCAGCACUUGGGAGACUGAGGCAGAAGGACUGCUGCGAGUUCAAGGACAGCCUGGGCUAUGGGAAGGAAGGAAUGUAGUACUACUCUGCCAUAAAGGAUAAAUUUGAGUCAUCUGUAAGAAACUGGACAUAUUCUGGUCAUAAUACUAAGUGACAUAAAUCAGACACACAAGUUUAAAUAUCACAUGGUUUCUCUUAUAUGAAAGACCCAACGUAUAAAUAAAGAGCAAAAUAAAAGAUCAAGAGAAAUGGUGAGCUAGACCUUUUAUAUGAGAUAGGAAUCAAGAGAUGGACAGAAAGGAAUGGGCCAGGAAGGGAAUGAGAUUUUUUUUUUUUAAUUAAGGUAUGUCGUGUACAUGUACUAACUCUCUCAAAGAAUGUGGUCAUCAUGUACUAUAAGUCUGUACUAAUCAAAAACAUUUUAAAUAUCUCAUUGUACGGAUUCCUUAUCUAUUCACUAGCUCAUAGGCAUUUGGUUGUUUCCACCUUUGUGCUGCCUACUGCUGCAAUGAAUGUGUACAAGUUUUCAUAUAGAUGUAACAUUUUCACUUCUCUUGGGUACAUACCUCCAGUUAAUAUUCGGCAUAUACCAUAUUUAUAGCAGCACAGUUUGUAAUAGCCAGAUGUAGGAAGCAACCUAAAUGCCCAUCAGCUGAAGAAUGGAUAAAAAAGAUGUGAUAUUUUUAUGCAAUGGAGUACUACUCAGCCAAAAAGAAGGAGAAACUGGAGACUUUUAUAGGUAAAUGGAUACCCCUUGAGAACAUACUCAGUGAAAUAAAUAAGACACACAUGUGUAAACACUGUAUUAGUGUGAGAAGCUAAAUCACAUGUGUAUGUAUGUGUGUGUGUGAAAAUAUAUAUAUAUAUAUAUAUAUAUAUAUAUAUAUAUAUAUAAAACAAAUAGCUAAGAUAUUUAUCCUACUGAUUUCUCUGAGUUCACUGAAGAGAAAGAUUUGUGUUGGUAUUGUGCAGAUAACUGAAUGCUCUGAGUAAAUGAUUUGUGUAUGACAGUGUGCAAUAUAUGUACCACUGCUGUGUCCUCACUGAUAUGUUUUGAAAUUUUGUUUUAGCUUUUUCUUUUUCUUCUUGAAUAAAAUGGAUUCAGGAAAAAAUAUAUCAGAUAUUUAUUCAAAGGAAUGACAUCCUCAUAGAUCAUGUGGUAAUUCUGGGUUUAACUGAGGAAAUGCCACACUGAUUUCCAUGGCAGCAACAUUCAUUUUACAUUCUCACCAACAGCAUAUAAAAGCUCUGAUUUUGGCACACUUGCUUCAACAUUUGUUAUCCAUCCUGUAGAUUAUAGCCUUCCUAAUGGGCAGGAAGUGGCAUGUUACUGUGGUUUUGAUUUCCUUUUUUGUGAUUGCUGAUAAUGCUAGCCAUGUUUCCACAUGCUAUUUCUUAUAUACUUUUUACUAGUUACUUUGAAGUUACUUCAAUUAUUUGCUGUAAUUAAUUGUAUCAAACUUUGCUCAAAUUGCCAGGUAGUUUCUUUCUCCUGAUUGGACUCUGGCUCUCAAUAUGAGAGGUCAGUGGUUUAUUAAGCAGAAACUCAAUGUCUAACAGGAUUUUUUUCUUUUAGUACCAGGAAUCAAACUGGUAACCUUGCGCUUGUUAGGCUGGCACUUAUGCCACUGAGCUAAACCCUCGCCCUUCUAAUAGGAUUCUGAAAGUAGGAAAUAGCCAGGCGUGCUAGUGCAGGCCUAUAAUCCUAACGCUUGGGAGGCUGAAGAGGAGAACUGCUGGGCUACACAGCAAGUUCAAAGCCAGCCUAAACUACACCGAGAAACUCUGUCUCAAAUAAAACCAGCCAAACAAAAUGACAAAAAAAAAGUAAAAAUGGGAAAUAAAAAAGGAAGCUAAAAAAUGUUUAUAACUGGUUAGAUACUCCUUUUACGAAGAGCUAAGGAAAAGCCUGGAAGGGUAUGGGAAAUAAAAAACCCCUGGAACAGGGGCUGGAGAUUUAACUCAGCGGCAUAAGCGACUGCCUUGCAAGCAGGCAGUUGUGAGUUCGAUCCCCGGUACCGAUAAAAAGGAAAAAGACAAAAAAAAAAAACCCGGGAACAAGACUUUCAGUUUUGCACAUGUGAGUUCAUAUGUGUUUUUACAAAGGAAACUUUUUUGAAUAGGAACUGUUAAGGUCUGGUUUUAUAGGGGAUUUUUACCUUUUUCUUUUCUUCAAUGGCAUUCAAAGGACAAGUCCUAGACAUAAUUUUAUUUGGAAAAGGUGACCUCUAUGUGGAAAAUUAAUAAUACUCAAUGCACUCUGGCAGGCUGAAGCAGGAGGAUCAAAAGUUGCCUGGGCAACUUAGCAAGAGUGGGUCAAAAAAAUAAAUAAAAAAGGCUAGGAAUAUACUCAGUGCAAAGGCCCUGGGUUCAACUCCCAGUAGCACAAAAACUGAAUAUAGCUGAUCUUUUUUUUUUUUUUUUUUUUUUUGGUACCGGGGAUUGAACUCACAACCUCACACUUGCUAGGCAGCUGCUUAUGCUGCUGAGCUAAAUCCCCAGCCCCAACAUAACUGAUCUUAAGAAAACUCAACAGUAGUAUUUGAAAAGACAAUUUCCUCUGCCCAGGCCAGCUGAGGUAGAAUAGAGACUGCUCUGAAAGGCAACUGAGAAAUGGCACUCUGCCCAGAAAAGAUGGAAAGCAAAAUUGUAGCUUGAAAAUAGUAACCUGCAAUAUAUAAAUGAAUGUGUACUGCUGUGUGCAAUAAAACUGGUAUGCCAGUUUGCAGGUCCUCUGUUCUGUAUUGUAUAGGGACACAGUACAUGUAGCAAAAGUAUAAAAAUAUAUAUGAGAAGAAAAGAAUUUCAAGUCAAAACUAGUGAUUCUCUCCAGUGAAAAAAAGAGGAGACUGUGAGGGAAAAAACACACCGGGCUUUAUGAAAAAUGUAAUGUCCUAUUUGUUAAGAAGUUUUUUUAAAAAACUGAAAUAAUAUGGCGUAUUAAGACUUAAUGAUGGGUAUCAUAUUAUUGUGCAUGUAUGUGUAAAAUAAUAUAUCAUGAGAUAAGGUACUCUUUUAUUGCUACUCUUUGAGACUCUAAGCUUUAGGUCAAUGUAGCAGUUCCAUAUUGUUUACUUGCCCAUAUCUUUAAAAAAGGCAAGGGAAGGAGCAUAAUAAUAAUAAAGCUAUGCUGCACUCCUGAAAAGUAACUGUUUGACUUUGCUAGAAGCUGUCUUCUCAAUGCAGACAAAAGCCAUUAUUACACAGUUGAGAAAAGCAGUGGGCACACACAAUACCUGCUCCCAGCAGCAGUGAUAAAUGAAGCUCAGACAUGAUGGUGGUAGUGAUUAGUCACUGCCCAUAAGCUUCCAAAAAAAGGCAAAGCCUGAACUAAACUGCCUCUGGGAAGCUGAAACCGUGGAAGGAUAGGAGCUAAAGAGUUGAAAACUCAUCCUACUGGCAGUGAGAACCACAUGAGGGAAGAAGUAGAGAAAUGGGGUGGAUCUCAUUUCACAAAGAUGCCUAUUUGCUCCAGUGGUAACGCAGAGGACAGACAGGAGAGGGCUGUACCAAGAGCCAGGUGAUACCCUGUUAGCAGCCUGGGCCAUCUACCUUCAAACAGGGAGAAACUGACACAGGUGUUUGAAGUGAUUCAACAGGUUACUGAAAGAAACACCAGAAUACCCAUGUGCAACUUAAUGUUUAAUUGUACUGGCACUGCCUCCCCCAGCUGAGCAAGGCACAUGAGGUCCCACGCUACGAGGGCUGGUGGCACCACCCUCUUCCGUGCCUUUCCUAAUGUCUGCAGCUUCUGUGGUACAAAAAGACAUCAAUGUGGCUAAGCUCGUGAAAACGAUCUUUUAAAGCAGAAUCAUCACUCUACUUCAUCAUGAGACACUAAGAAAUCAUGAAAUUUGUACCUCAAAAUUCUCCAGCUAUCAUAGAGCAAGAUCUUAGGCAAUUUCCAGAAGUUAAGAUAAGGUGAGUAUUUUUCUUUUUUUUUUUUUUUGGUCUUUCUUCUUUUUAUCGGUACCAGGGAUCAAACUCACGACUGCCUGCUUGCAAAGCAGGCGCUUAUGCUGCUGAGCUAAAUCCCCAGCCCCUGGGUGAGUAUUUUUCUUUAACAGAAGUACUGGUGUUUCCAGUUUGCUAUCUUUCCUAGAAUUGCAAAUGUCUGUCAGAAGCAUGGAAUCUACCUGAUAUUCCCCAAACACAAACAUCCACCCUUCCCAGACACAGGAAAUGGUGCAACCAAGGCUGAAAACCAGCUACUUUUCAAAGAAUGCACUAUGUUGAGUGCAUCUUGAACAAGUUUUUAAAUGUUGACAUCGACGUUUUCUCUAAAAAAAUAGAAGUACGAUGUAAAAGUUAUCAUAAACAAAGCUUUUGUAAAUGGUGAGGAGAGGAGGGGUUGAAGGGAGGGGAGGAGAAUGGGAAAGAAAAGGAACAGGUUAUAUCAUGUACAGGUACAAAUUCUCUAUGAUGAAUGUGAUUAUCAUGUAUAUCUAAAAUGUAGCAAAAAUUUAAAUUGAAUUGCAAAAUAAAAUGAAAUAAAAGCUGUCAUACAGUAGCUACACAGUUCUCAAAGUAGUCUGAGGUCCUUAAGAGUCACCAAAACCCCUAAAGGGGAUCCAUGAGUUUAACACUUUUCAUAAUAAUUCUAACAUUAUUUGCCUUGUUCACUCUCAUUCGCUCGUAAGAGUCCAAUAGGGUUUUUUGGAGGUUACAUAACAUGGGAAGACAUGGAAUAACACAGUUGUUAUGGCUAAUAGAAUAUGUACUGUGUAUUCUUCUGAUUUAAAAUUUUCUCAGCAUUUAAUCAUUUUAAUGCAUUAAAUACAUUACCAACAGACAAACCCAUAAAGAUGAAAGUCCUCAAGGUAUUUGGUAAUUUUUAAGCUUUAAAGCACCCUUGAAGCCAAAAAGUGGAUACUACAACACAUUUUAAAAAACAGAAUUUUCCAAACUGCAUAACCAUUUUUUUUUUUUUUUGGUACCAGGGAUUGAACUCAUGAUCUCGCACUUGCCAGGCAGGUGCUUGUGGCACUAAGCUAAACCCCCACCCCCUUUUUUGGUCUUUUUGAGACAGGAUUUCUCUAGGCAGUUCAGGCUAACCAUGAACUACUACAUAGCCUAGGCUGGCCUCAAACUUGCAGCAAUCCUCCUGCCUCAGCCUCUCACGUGCAUACGCCACCAUACCUGGCUUGUUUGACAUAUUUAAAACAAAAGGUUUCAAUGGUUUCUUAACCCAUGUUAAAAAACAUAAUUCUGCCACUCUUCAAUUAUCUUGGAAGAGAGACUGACAUCAAUGAAAAGGAAAUUUAGUGAAAUAGAGACAUUAAGACAAGACAGUAGACGACAUUUAAUCAGAAAAACAUGAGUUCAGAGAGGAAGAACUCCUGUCAAGUCAGGAUGAUUAGGGAGGAACCCACAGAAAACAAAACUAAAUUAAACCCUCAUUACCAUAUUUUUUUUAAAAAUAUCAUCAGAUGAAAAAACAGUAAAAUACCAGAAGGGAAGAAGCUAACAAGGACAGGCCAUGGAGAAGUUGUUACGUUUUAGCAGCCCAGGCGGUGAGCAUACUGCAGUAACAUCAAUGACAAGAAAGCAGAUGUACACACAUUACUAAAGAUUGAACCCAAGCAUGGUGGCACACACCUGUAAUCUCAGCACUCGGGAGGCUGAGGUAGGAGGACUGCCAUGAGUUUGAGGCCAGCCUCAGCUACACAGUGACACCUUGUCUCAAAAAAAUGAAAAUGAAAAACGAAAAGACUGAACCCAGGUGAACUCUAUCACCAAGGUAGAACCCCAGCCUAUUUUAUAUUUAGAGACAAGGUUCUCCUAAGUUCCCCAGGUUGGCCUUGGACUUGAGACCCUCCAGGUCCCAGCCUUAAACACUGUUUCACUGGUUACAAUAUUCCUAUCAACUUUCCUUUCCUGCUAUCAGAAAAGGUCCCUUAUGCCUUAACCUCACAGAUCAGCAUCAUCAAUCAUCUUUUUUUUUUUUUUUUUUGUCUUUUGCGUUUUUAUCGGUACCAGGGGUCGAACUCACGACCACCUGCUUGCAAGGCAGGUGCUUAUGCCGCUGAGCUAAAUCCCCAGCCCCUUCAUCAAUCAUCUUAAAUGCAUAAAUAAAACCACAAAGUUGGCAGUGGUUAUCUUUAGGUGGUAAGCAUUAAGGCUAAUGAUUGCCCACCAUAGGCUAGAAGCAAGAGGCAAUAUACUAAACAUUAGGAGUAUUAAAACUAUUAUUUUAGUCAGAUGUGGUGGCACACGUCCAUAAUCCCAGCUACUAAAAACCAUGAGGCAGGAGGAUAGCAAGUUUCAGGCCAUUUAGAGUAAUUUACCUAGACCCUGGCUAAAACAACAAAAAUAGAGAGGGCUGUGGGUACAAUUCAAUGUCAGAGUGCUUCCCUAGCAUAUAUAAGGCCAUGGAUUCCAUUCCCAGUAUUGCUAAAUAUAAAAACUAUCACUUUUAUUGUAAGAGGUCCUUUAUAUAUCUAAAAACACAGGGCCAGGUUUGUCUGUCUGUUUUUCAGUACUGGGGAUCAGACUCAGGACCUCUGCAUUGAGCUGCACCCUCAAGAGUAUUUUAUUUUGAGACACAGUCUCACUAAGUCACUUAGCUGCCCAGAUUAGGCUUGAAUUUGCAACCUUCCUGCCUCAGCCUUCCAGAGUGCUAAGAUUACAGGCCUGACCACCAUACCUGGCAGGACCAAGCUUUUUACGUUUAUUCCCUCCAAUCUGCAGAGCAACCUUGCAAGAUAGGGAUUUUUAUCCCUAUUUUCCAAAUUUGAAAGCCAAGAACAUCAAGAAAGCAAUUCUACAGUCUGCUCAAGGUCAUACGGUAGAAACUGGUGAAGUGACUAAAAUCCUUUUCUGCUAUUGAAAGCAGGACACAUAAACCUCUCAUCUUACUGCACCAUCCCAACUAUCACAUCCUUCCCUCCAGUCUCACCUCAUUCAAUCUCUCCUCUAAAUGUAAAUAUGACUUUCGUGUAGCAGGCAUGGGCUACGAUUGCAAACCUAGAAAUUCCCAUGCCAGGAAAACAAGACACAUACUUACUCAGCCACCUCCUCACACAGUUCUCCUCAAAGGCAAAGCUGACGACAGUCAUUUCCUACCUUCAGCUCUUCCAGGGGCUCAAAUUACCUUGAGGAUAAAGCACAACUCACAAAGCCCUUCUCAAACUCUUCUACAGCACCAAUCCUACACACUGCCCAAACACACUCCACACUCCUGCCCUGCAAGCCUCCUCACUCAGGAAGCAGCAAGAUUUGCUCUUCUGUCUCUAGGUCCUGGCACUCACUGUUUCCUGCAUGACAAGCCUUGAAAGCCACAUCCAACCAGCUAGUAAUUAUUGGUUCUUCAAAACUUAAACUAGGUGUGAGCUCCUCUAGAAAACCGUUACUUAUAUUCCCAACAUGACAAGACAGUCACAAACCUUGUUAUGAGGUAGUCAGGCCUCUGCAGAUUCAAUCAAUAACAGAUGAGAAGUGUUUUUUUAAAAAAGUGCACCUGUACUGAGCAUGCACUUUUUUUCUUGUCUUUAUUCUCUAAAUAUAACUGUUUACAUAGCAUUUACAUGGUGUUAGGCAGUACAAGUAAUCCAAAGCUAACAAAGAUGAAGGAACUCUUUUGAGUGUUAUAUGCAAACACUCUGCUGUCUGAACAUGAAUGUCCUUGAGUUUUGGUAUUCCUGAAGUGUCCUAGAACCAAGCCUAUAAGCAUGUUGUGGCUUGACAGUAUUAUAACUACUGGUUUACUUCCCUCAGGUCCUCCAAAACUAUAGGCUUUCUGAGGCCAGAGCCGUACCAUUUACACUUCCAGUGCCAUAACACAUAGUCUAGCACAGAGCUUGUGUCCAAUAAAUAUCUGGAAUAACUAGACUACUUAGUAUAGUGGGAUAAGCACUUAAGUAUACAAUAAGAUAUGAAAAUUUUAAAAGGCAUGGCAGGAAUGUGGUCCAAGGAAGAGGGAGGAAAGAAAAAGAAACAGGAAAAUCUGAGAGAAUUCAUAUAUUUCUGGGGCUUCCUUAUCUGUUCUUUUGAAAUUUCUUCAAAUCCUGCUAUUGUUGCUGCUGCUGCUACUCUGAUUUUGAAUGUUUACUUUGAGCUAGGUAUUUUACUGUGCAAAGCACUUUACCGGAACUAAUUCAUUUAGUUUUACAACUGCGCUAUGUAUGCCAUAAUCCCAGCAUUCUGACAAGGAAACUCGGUCUGGAGGAACCUGGGGCUGGAGAUGUAACUUAGUGGUACAACACUUGCCUAACAUUCAAGGCCCUGGGAUCAACCCCCAACACCACACACACAUACACAGUUUCUUUCUUUCUUUCUUCCUUCCUUCCUUCCUCUUUCUUUCUCUCUCUUUCUUUCUUUCUUUCUUUGUCUUUUUGAAACAGGGUCUCACUGUGCAGUUCAGGCUGGCCUUGAGCUCACUUUGUAGCCCAGGCUGGUCUCAACUCGCGACGAUCCUCCUAUCUCAGCCUCCCGAGUGCUGGGAUUGCAGGCAUGAGCCACCAUGUCUGGCUCUCAUACACACACUUUCAAUGUCAGUUAGUAGUAUAGACAAGCUCUGAAGCCAGAUCUUCUGUUUCCUGAACCAGGGCUCCAUCCAACCUUCUCUGCUUAUUCUUUGUCAAAAGUGCAACCUCCCCAAAUAACAACUUUGCAAGUCUCAAUUCAACUGUAAGUUCUUUAUUUUAUCCAAUCAUAUGAAAAUGCAUUUCAAAUAACUACAGAUUUCUUAAAUCCAGUAUCUUGAAUGUAAUUCAACUUUUUAAAUUUUUGGAUGUCACAAGGUCAUGCUUUGUUGAUUACGAAGGCCAGAAAAAGUAAUGCCUUCAGGAAUAACUAUGUUAUAUAUGGAACAUAUUAUCCUCGUAUAAUUGGCCUUGGCAUUUAUAAAUUCUUGUUAUAGACUUUUAACUCAGAAUCUACCUUUCCACUAUGCCUAGAGCUAUUAAUUCUUGCUAUUAUCAGUGUUUGUAUCUGAUAGUAGUACUUCUUAUUCCUGCUCUCUAAUCUUCUUUUUUUUUUUAAAGGAGGGCCAUCUCUAAUCUUCGACAGUCUAUGACACCCAUAGAAGAUGUAGUCCUUAUUGCUAUUCAUCAAAUCGUUUUGGUCCUUUGUUGCUAGGCAUAUGCUAAGAGUACAAUUCCUCAACCUGCUUUAAAGUUAGGUCUGGCCAUGUGACAUGCUUUGAUCAAUGAAGUAUAAAAGAAAGAGAA